rnacentral:rRNA from 1 species
GACGUAGGGCGCGAGCGUUGUCCGGAUUAUUGGGCGUAAAGAGCUCGUAGGCGGCUUGUUGCGUCGGCUGUGAAAACCCGCGGCUUAACCGCGGGCCUGCAGCCGAUACGGGCAGGCUAGAGUUCGGUAGGGGAGACUGGAAUCCUGGUGUAGCGGUGAAAUGCGCAGAUAUCAGGAGGAACACCGGUGGCGAAGGCAGCUCGCUGGGACGGUACUGACGCUGAGGCGCGAAAGCGUGGGGAGCAAACAGG